rnacentral:rRNA from 1 species
GAUGAACGCUGGCGGCGUGCCUAAUACAUGCAAGUCGAGCGCAGCGGGGACGGGUGAGUAACACGUGGAUACCCUCGUAUAAGACUGGGAUAACUUCGGGAACCGGAGCUAACCGGGAUACUUAUAGAUGGAUCCGCGCUGAAUUAGCUAGUUGGUAAGGUAACGGCUUACCAAGGCAACGAUGCAUAGCCGACCUGAGAGGGUGACCGGCCAACCUGGAACUGGGACACGUCCCAGACUCCUACGGGAGGAAGCAGUAGGGAAUUUUCCGCAAUGGGCGAAAGCCUUACGGAGAAACGCCCCGGGAGUGAUGAAGGUCUUCGGAUCGAAAACCUCUGUUAUUAGGGAAGCGGUACCUAACAAGAAAGCCACGGCUAACUCCGUGCCAGCAGCCGCGGUAAUAC